rnacentral:rRNA from 1 species
GCAAGUCGAACGGUAACAUAGCUAGCUUGCUAGCUGAUGACGAGUGGCGGACGGGUGAGUAUAACGUAGGAAUCUGCCUAGUAGCUGGGGAUAAGCCAGAGAAAUUUGGUCUAAUACCGAAUACGCCCUACGGGGGAAAGCGGGGGCUCUUCGGACCUCGCACUAUUAGAUGAGCCUACGCCGGAUUAGCUAGUUGGUGGGGUAAAGGCCUACCAAGGCUACGAUGGGUAGCUGGUCUGAGAGGACGAUC